GUGCCAGCAGCCGCGGUAAUACCAGCACCCCGAGUGGUCGGGACGAUUAUUGGGCCUAAAGCAUCCGUAGCCGGUUUUACAAGUCCUCCGUUAAAUCCAACUGCUUAACAGAUGGGCCGCGGAGGAUACUAUAAGACUAGGAGGCAGGAGAGGCAAGCGGUACUCAGUGGGUAGGGGUAAAAUCCGUUGAUCCAUUGAAGACCACCAGUGGCGAAGGCGGCUUGCCAGAAUGCGCUCGACGGUGAGGGAUGAAAGCUGGGGGAGCAAACCGGAUUAGAUACCCGGGUAGUCCCAGCUGUAAACGAUGCAGACUCGGUGAUGGACUAGCUUUAUGCUAGUCCAGUGCCGCAAGAAAGCCGUUAGCUCUGCCCCCUGGGU
rnacentral:rRNA from 1 species